GAAACUGAGAUUCUGGAAGUCCCUCUGAAUGGCCCAUACUUCCCCAGGUGUCUCUGCAGGAAACAAUGUGGACAAUCACAGUAGUUGGAAGGACAAUGACUGACCUAAUGGAGUUCAGGACGCUAUGACUGUUGGCACCUGAUGUGCACAGCUGCUCCCAUCUGCGCAGAGAGAAUAUAAAGGCAGUGGCGCUGAAACAUCUGCUGCUUUCACUCACCAUCAAGAUGGAACUGACUGUACAUGCAAGCAAAUUUUGAUGAAGAGAGUGAUCUCAGAGUGCGAAGAUAAGUUGUUUCUCCUUGACACCUAGGAAUGCACCUGGCCAAGACCCUCAGUUGAAAGACAAUAUCAAAUAAAUGCAAAAUCUAAAUA
ensembl:lncRNA novel transcript